CUUCUCUGAAACCCUAACUAGGCUCCUAUACGGUCGUCUUCAAUAAUCUUCGUAUGUUCUUCGCAUCAUUCUCAACGACUGGAAUCGGUACCUCUGGCCACUCAAUCGACGACCAUUGAGAUCCAAAACCCUAAGUUUUUCGUUGACCAAAGUGGUUGAAAAAUCGGAAGAACAACCAUAAAAAUCGAAGAAGGUUAGACGCACAUCAGACACACAUCAAGGAUGCAGCGGAUCGCUAUGGAUGUCAAUUGGGAUUUUUAGGGAAGUAUUAGUAUAUUGAUGCUAUGCUAGAAGGAGACCGUGUGAUUGUGGACAUAGAUUCACAUCAGAGUUUGAAAUUGCAAGAUCCACAAAAAGCUAUAGAGCCGUUCUUUAAAUGCUUCCUCAUAUAACUGUGAUAUGACCCGAUCGUCGACAGAAUAUCCUCAACAUAGUUUCUGAUGCUGCAAAAUAGAGCUUAAAGAAGAAAGGAAUGCCUCUGUCCCCUUGGUGAAGAGCCGAUUAUGUUAAAGCUAAAUGGCUCUCUCCUUGCAAUCGAAUGGUCAACAAUCCGACUAAUGAUAAGAAUAACCAAUCUUUUACUGAAAUUG
rnacentral:lncRNA from 1 species